rnacentral:lncRNA from 1 species
AUGAGCCGGCAUUCCCGGCAGGGAGGCGAGCGCAGCCUGCUCCCGCAUCCCUGGCUCCGGCAUUCCCGGCUCCCCCAUCCCUGGCUCCGGCAUUCCCGGCUCCCCCAUCCCUGGCUCCAGCAUUCCCGGCUCCCGCAUCCCUGGAUCAAGCAUCCUCGGCUCCAGCGUGUCUGGAUCCCGCAUUCCUGGAUCCAGCACUCCCGGAUCCCUCACUCUCGGAUCCCGCAUUCCCUGCUCCAGCAUUCCCGGCUCCAUCAUUCCCGGAUCCUUCAUUCCCAGCUCCAGCAUUCUCGGAUCCCGCAUUCCCUGCUCCAUCAUUCCCGGAUCCUUCAUUCCCGGCUCCAGCAUUCCCGACUCCCGGGCUGCCCCGGCCGCCGAGGGAGCGAUGGAAAAUCCCUGAGCCAGCGCCUGGAAAAUCCGUGCGGCAAAGGGGAUGCUGCAGAUGCUCUCAGCCUCCUCCCCGGCCUUGGCUUCGCUGCAAAACUCGGGAAAGCCUCAAAGUUGGGAUGGAUUUGGGAUGAUGGCAUAAAAUAUCCCUCCUGCUGCUCCAUCGGUGGGUAUUCCUGAGUAAUUUUUCCAGGGGCUUCCUAAUUUUACAUAAAUUGUUAAAUAU